GGGGAAUUUUCCGCAAUGGGCGAAAGCCUGACGGAGCAAUACCGCGUGAGGGAGGAAUGCCUUUGGGUUGUAAACCUCUUUUCUCAGGGAAGAAGAUCUGACGGUACCUGAGGAAUAAGUAUCGGCUAACUCCGUGCCAGCAGCCGCGGUAAUACGGAGGAUGCAAGCGUUAUCCGGAAUCAUUGGGCGUAAAGCGUCCGCAGGUGGUUUUCAAAGUCUGCUGUUAAAGACUGGAGCUCAACACCGGAAAGGCGGUGGAAACUUGGAAACUAGAGUUCGGUAGGGGUAGCAGGAAUUCCCAGUGUAGCGGUGAAAUGCGUAGAUAUUGGGAAGAACAUCGGUGGCGAAGGCGUGCUACUGGACCGCAACUGACACUCAGGGACGAAAGCUAGGGGAGCGAAAGGGAUUAGAUACCCCUGUAGUCCUAGCCGUAAACGAUGGAAACUAGGUGUGGCUUG
rnacentral:rRNA from 1 species